AAACCAUGAUGAGGACAAUCGUGUUCGUAGUCCUUAAAUCAUUUUCAUGCUUCAUAGAAGGAUUCGACCGGUCUUUGUUAGAAUCCUUGCAGCUUGUUCCUUAAAGACU
rnacentral:snoRNA from 1 species